rfam:Drechmeria coniospora strain ARSEF 6962 chromosome 02, whole genome shotgun sequence.
GCCAGAGUGGCCGAGUGGUUAAGGCGUUGGUUUUAAGUGGCGUACCACUAUCACCAAUAUCGAAAGAUGCCCGGGAUCGAAACCUGGCUCUGGCU